AGUGAACGCUGGCGGUAGGCCUAACACAUGCAAGUCGAACGGCAGCACAGUAAGAGCUUGCUCUUACGGGUGGCGAGUGGCGGACGGGUGAGGAAUACAUCGGAAUCUACUUUUUCGUGGGGGAUAACGUAGGGAAACUUACGCUAAUACCGCAUACGACCUACGGGUGAAAGCAGGGGAUCUUCGGACCUUGCGCGAUUGAAUGAGCCGAUGUCGGAUUAGCUAGUUGGCGGGGUAAAGGCCCACCAAGGCGACGAUCCGUAGCUGGUCUGAGAGGAUGAUCAGCCACAAUGGAAAUGAGACAAGGUCCAGACUCCUACGGGAGGCAGCAGUGGGGAAUAUUGGACAAUGGGCGCAAGCCUGAUCCAGCCAUACCGCGUGGGUGAAGAAGGCCUUCGGGUUGUAAAGCCCUUUUGUUGGGAAAGAAAAGCAGCAGGUUAAUACCCCGCUGUUCUGACGGUACCCAAAGAAUAAGCACCGGCUAACUUCGUG
rnacentral:rRNA from 1 species